UAAAAACAAAAUAAAAAAAUAUUUUCAUUGCCAAAUAGUUCAUGGCUACAAGAGGUAAUCCUCAAUGCAAUGCCUCAAACCAAUCAACAAAACUACUCAGAAAAAGCAUGAAUGAUUUACAAAUACUCCAUUCUACUUGAACUUGUUUUGCCUUCAAAGACGGAACAUGUUGUAGCAACUCCUGAAGCAGGAGCUGCACCAAAAUAAAUGAUCUUCUAUCUUUUCAUUUGUUCUUUCAUGUCUGCACAAUAUUCAAGUGCACAAGAACAAGAAAAUGCAAACAUGGAACUGCUAUUCCUUCUCUCAAUUAGCUUUAAUACAAGAGUUUCUCCAAAACAAGUCACAGAGGAAAGAAUAAAUCGAAUAUUAAUUUGGUGGGACGACAAAGAAAAUUCAGAAACAAGAAACUGAAAACAAAAUGCAAAAUUUCAGCAGGGUAGAAUUCCUGUUGGCUCCUACAACUAUAAAAAUAAAUGGGAAAAAUGUCAAAUGUAUAACACGAUAUGUACAUCAUUAGCUUUACCUCCUAUAGUCUCCAAACAGUAAGCUUUCAUAAUCUGUUCCUUUGAGAGUUUUUAGGACUUCAUCCCAAUUCUCAACCAGGUUAGACAACGAUCCUUUAUGUAUCUUUACUUGACGACUCCUAAGAUCGCUAUGUGGAACCUUCAGAAAAUCUUGAACCUCUAGCAAUUUAGUUUGAUUUUUAACUAUAUCCUCAUAGUAAAGAAUUAUGUGCCUGGUGCUCUUGAAGUACUCUAAUGCUUUUGUUGUUGUGUCUCUUACUUGCUCCAGAUUGGGUAUCAGCAGAGUAGCAUUGAUAUAGGGUUUGUAUCUAGCUAGUUUCUCUGCCUCAUCAAGUGAAUGAACAUGAGACUUGUGGAUCCCAUUUAACAGUUUAGCUUCUCGAUCAUAGGAAUUUGCAAGUACUGAAAUCAUUCUGCGCAAAAGAUUUCUCCUGAAGAGAAAGAUUGCUGAAAUACCUCUGGUUUUGAAAUACUCGACUAUUUCAUCAUGAUGUUGCAUCACACCCUGAUUGAGCAUCCACUUUAAACCAACUGCAGCAGUGCACUCAUUCCUGGAAGCACUACUUAGCCAGUCUAGAUUAUAAAUUUUGUCCAAAGUUUCUGUAAUCAUUGAAACAUUACUCCUUCUCACUUUAACAGAAAAAAUCUCUCCAUUUGAGCUUAUGUUAGUAUGGUUAUUUAAUAAAGUCUCAAACCAUCCACUCCCAGAUCUCUGCAUUGACAGAAUGGCAAAAUACCGCACCGGAUUGCAUGCACAUUCGGCCCUGCUAUAAGUUUUGGGCUUAGGGUAGUGCACAUAAGGAAUUUCCCAGGGUUCAAUAUUAGGUUCUGGGCAUGGCUUUUCAAUCACUCCAACACUCAAAAUUCCAGGAUUGUUGUGGAUGCUAAUUUGCUUAAGACAAAUUGAGCAUGUGUAAACACCACAGACCAUUACAAACACCAGAACAACCAUUCUUAGUAACAGUGGAGACUUCUUAGGAGCCUUUAUGAUGAAAAUAUCCUUAGAGAAGAAGCAAAGAUCGUCAGGCAUAGUUUUUGAUAGCUUGAAAAGGAAGAGGAAAAAAAGGCAUUUGGCAGCUCAGAUUCCUUCUUUACAUUCACUGUCCAGCUUUAUCUCUCGCGUUUCAACUCAUUAUUACUACCAUAUAAAAGGCAAAGAAUUCAAAAUAUUAAAAAUAAAAAAUAAAAAGCAGAGAGAAAGGGUUUUCUCGUGAAGAACAAAAUAAUUAGGAUGCUUUUAGACCGUUGCACGCUCUGGACGUCUAUGUUAAUUGUGAUAAUGUGAAGGCAUUCAUCUGCUG
rnacentral:misc_RNA from 1 species